rnacentral:lncRNA from 1 species
AUCUUCAAUGGAACCUUUGUGAAGCUCAACACAUCUUCAAUUAACAUGCUGAGGAUUGUAGAACCAUAUAUUGCAUGUGGGUAGCCAAAUCUGAAGUCAGUAAAUGAACUAAUCUGUAAGUGUGGUUAUGGCAAAAUCAAUAAGAAGCGAAUUGCUUUGACAGGUAACACUUUGAUUGCUCAAUCUCUUGGUAAAUAUGGUAUCAUCUGCACGGAAGAUCUGAUUCAUGAGAUCUAUACUGUUGGAAAAUGCUUCAAACAAGCAAGUAACUUCCUGUGGCCCUCCAAACCAUCCUCUCCAGAAGGUGGAAUGAAGAAAAAGACCACCCAUUUUGUAGAAGGUGGAAAUGCUGACAACAGGGGGGACCAGAUCAACAGCCUUCUUAGAAGAAUAA